AUCCAGCUGAUGAGUCCCACCCAAAUGAAACGAAACGCGCGUCCUGCGU
rnacentral:hammerhead_ribozyme from 1 species